UCAAUCGUAGGUACGACACCUUCUCUAGAUCUCUCACUUUGAUACUACAGCUGCUGCUGCGACAAAAAUCAAAUAUAAACUUCCUUGCAGCGGCGCGAUGAAUAUUUGAUGAUGGGUCGACGACAUUCAAUCUGCAGUGGCUCCAACAAGGCUUUGUCGGAAAAGCCAGGCGGGUUUUGAGGUUUGUGCAGCCUGGAGAUGCAUCUGAGUGUAAACCAAAUGUAUUGCAAGAACCACCUAAUAAUCCUCGUUUAAAUUGUCCUGUGUGCAUUAUUAGUCCAGCAAGGGAAGAAACAACGACCAAGUGUGGUCAUAUUUUUUGCAAGACAUGUAUAGGUACUGCAAUCAAUGUUCAACACAAAUGUCCUACUUGUAGGAAGAAGCUGAAACUAAAGAACACCAUUAGGGUUUAUCUUAACUGAUUGACUGACCAUAUAUGGUUGUUUAAACAUUGAGGAAGAAACUCCAAUGAAAGAAACAUGUAUUUUGGUAAUGAAAGAAACAUGUAAUUUGGACUUCAAGAGAGCAAAGGUGAAGAAGGGACACAACUCUAAUGAAACUGUAGAUCAGAAGUUUUUAAUGAGAAUGGUUGCGAAAAAUAUAUAUACAAUACUGAAAAGAUUUGUUUGACUACACCGAAAGUAAAGGGUUCGUCUCGUUUCAGCCGACAUGAAUUUUUUCUACGAUUAAAUUUAAAAUUUAUUUUAUAUAGAUGUUAGUAAUAGUCAAUUUCAGGGAAAAAUAAUAAGGUUGAAAAUCUCUUUAUUUUUUUCUGCAACUGACUUUUGCUGAGGUCUAUAUUAAAUGACUUUUUGAUAUAAUUGUAGAAAAAUGUUUUGUGUACUGAAUCGAGAUUAAUUCUUUUAUAUUCGGCGUACUUCACCAAACUUUUCAGAAAUGUAUAUAUAUUCCCCUUAGUAAUCCACACCCUCUGUUUAGGUUUUUUCAAAAAAGAUUUGCCAUUUUUAUUUUCUUGCCAUCAUUAUUAUUGUAUUAUUUUUAUUAGGUGUCUUUUCUACUUUGAUCAAGAAAAAAAUGAAUAGAUUGAUGAAUCUGAAGAUGAAGUGAGAUUCUGCUGCUAGUGUUGAAGUAGAGGUGGAUUUUGAGGUUUGUGCAGCCUGGAGAUGCAUCUGAGUGUAAACCAAAUGUAUUGCAAGCACCACCUAAUAAUCCUCGUUUAAAUUGACCCGUGUCCAUUAGUCCAGCAAGGGAAGAAACGAUGACCAAGUGGUCAUAUUUUUUGCAAGCAUGUAUAGGUACUGCAAUCAAUGUUCAACACAAAUGUCCUACUUGUAGGAAGAAGCUGAAACUAAAGAACACCAUCAGGGUUUAUCUUAACUGAUUGACUGACUAUAUAUGGUUGUUUCAACAUUGAGGAAGAAACUCUAAUGAAAGAAACAUGUAUUUUGGUAAUGAAAGAAACAUGUAAUUUGGACUUCAAGAGAGCAAAGGUGAAGAAGGGACACAACUCUAAUGAAACUGUAGAUCAGAAGUUUUUAAUGAGAAUGGUUGCGAAAAAUAUAUAUACAAUACUGAAAAGAUUUGUUUGACUACACCGAAAGUAAAGGGUUCGUCUCGUUUCAGCCGACAUGAAUUUUUUCUACGAUUAAAUUUAAAAUUUAUUUUAUAUAGAUGUUAGUAAUAGUCAAUUUCAGGGAAAAAUAAUAAGGUUGAAAAUCUCUUUAUUUUUUUCUGCAACUGACUUUUGCUGAGGUCUAUAUUAAAUGACUUUUUGAUAUAAUUGUAGAAAAAUGUUUUGUGUACUGAAUCGAGAUUAAUUCUUUUAUAUUCGGCGUACUUCACCAAACUUUUCAGAAAUGUAUAUAUAUUCCCCUUAGUAAUCCACACCCUCUGUUUAGGUUUUUUCAAAAAAGAUUUGCCAUUUUUAUUUUCUUGCCAUCAUUAUUAUUGUAUUAUUUUUAUUAGGUGUCUUUUCUACUUUGAUCAAGAAAAAAAUGAAUAGAUUGAUGAAUCUGAAGAUGAAGUGAGAUUCUGCUGCUAGUGUUGAAGUAGAGGUGGAUUUUGAGGUUUGUGCAGCCUGGAGAUGCAUCUGAGUGUAAACCAAAUGUAUUGCAAGCACCACCUAAUAAUCCUCGUUUAAAUUGACCCGUGUCCAUUAGUCCAGCAAGGGAAGAAACGAUGACCAAGUGGUCAUAUUUUUUGCAAGCAUGUAUAGGUACUGCAAUCAAUGUUCAACAUAAAUGUCCUACUUGUAGGAAGAAGCUUAAACUAAAGGACACCAUAAGGACACCAUCAAGGUUUAUCUUUAACUGAUUGACUGGCCAUAUGUGAGUUUUCUCUUAUUGAAUAGUUUUAUUUGUUAUUUAUAUGCAUUUGAACUGAAAAUGAUUGUUCCAUAAGACAGAUCAUCCUUACAUUAAUUGACUAUAAGUCUGAUUGUUAUUUAAGUUUGUUAAUCUCUUUUUUGUGAAUAAUUUUGAAUUUAUUAUAUCUUCCUUUCGGACUUUCUUUUGUGCAGAUGGUUGUUUCAACAUUGAGAAAGAAACUCGAAUGAAAGAAACAUGUAUUUUUGUAAUGAAAGAAACAUGUAAUCUGGACUUCAAGAGAGAAAAGAUAAAGAAAGGAACAUGACUCUAAUGAAGCUGUAGAUCAGAAUUUUUAAUGAGAAGGUCGGGAAAAAUAUAUAUACAAUACUGAAAAGAUUUGUUUGACUACACCGAAAAUAAAGGGUUUGUCUUGUUUCAGCAGACAUGAAUUUUUUUUAUGAUUAAAUUUAAAAUUUAUUUUAUAUAGAUGUUAGUAAUAGUCAAAUUUAGGAAAAAAUAAUAAGGU